rnacentral:rRNA from 1 species
GUAGGAGGCGAGCGUUAUCCGGAUUUACUGGGCGUAAAGAGGGCGUAGGCGGUUCUUCAAGUCGGGAUGUAAAAUCUCCCGGCUUAACUGGGAGGGACCAUUCGAUACUGUCGGGCUAGAGGGCAGCAGAGGGAGGUAGAAUUCCCGGUGUAGUGGUGAUAUGCGUAGAUAUCGGGAGGAAUACCAGUGGCGAAGGCGGCCUCCUGGGCUGUUUCUGACGUUGAGGCCCAAAAGCGUGGGGAGCAAACAGGAUUAGAUACCCUGGUAGUCCACGCUGUAAACUAUGGACACUAGGUAUAGGGAGUAUCGACCCUCUCUGUGCCGAAGCUAACGCAUUAAGUGUCCCGCCUGGGGACUACGGCCGCAAGGCUA